ensembl:lncRNA
CUCUGCGGCAGAGUCUUUCGACGGGGAGCCGGCAUCACACCUGUGGGAGGCAGCCACGUCCUCUGAGGUAGAAUUCAUGAGUUCGAGUUCCCUGAUUAAAUCCUGUUUGUACUGCUCCGCCUCCUCCUCCGUAAACAGGGAGGCCUUGUAGCGAGGAUCCAGCAGCGUGGCGAAGACGUACCGCGGGUCAUGGAGGGUGGCAGACAGGCGGCUCACCAUGGCCUCCUUCAGACAGCGUAGCAUGGUGUCAAUGCCCAUCGUCUCCUCGAAGAGCAUCUCCACCUUCCUGUUGAGGAUGUGCACCAUGGGGAUGACCUGGCUGAGGGUGGACAUCUGCGUGCUCAUCUCCCGGCUCGCAGCCUCGAAGGGCUUUAGUGCACGGCACACGGACUGCAUGACCUCCCACUGGUCGCAGCUGAUCAGCUCUCGGAAGUUACACUCGACAGACAUCUCGUUAAUGGCCCUUUUCUGCUCAAUGAGCCGCUCAAGCAUGUGGAAGGACGUGCUCCACUUGGACGGGACGUCCUGGAUGAGGUGGUGCUGAGGCAGUGCGUACUCCCUCUGCAGCUCGGCCAGUUUCUCCUUCGCCUUGGGCGACCGGUGCACCCGCUCGCAGAUCUUCCGGGCGAGGCUCAGCAGGUUCUGCACCAUCCGCUGGCUCUUAAUGGCCUCGCUGACAAUCAGGUUCACCGUAUGGCUGAAGCACUGUACGCUCGAGUGCUCCCCCUCGCUCAGCGUCUUCCCAAUGCUGGGGUUGUCGGUGACGGUGAUGCCCACCUGAAGGCCGGUGGAGGUCACCCACGCUUCCCACCAGCACUCCAGCUGCUUCUGAAUGCUGUUGCCGCUGUAGUCACAGUCCACCUGCGACACGUCCAACAGCGCCGAGCAGUGGUGGUCGUCACAGCGCGGCCGGGCUGACGACUCGAAGGAAACCCAGUGGGCCGUGAGGGUCAGGUACUCACGGGUCUGGUUACUCAUCCAUAUUCCAGACGUGAAGUGGAUCACACCACUCUCAGCUUCCUUAAGGUGGGACAUAAUUAUCUGCUUCACAUUAUCAUACAUACCUGGGAUAGCUGUCCUGGAGAAGUAGGAAGGGGCGGGGAGGGAGUACUGAGGUUUCAAGUAUUCAAGCAGCCUGUUAAAGCCAACACUGUCUACAAAAGAAUAUGGCUGGAGGUCAAGUGCAAUCAUUUCAGCUAUGAGACUUGUGAUUUUUUUGGCAACUGGGUGAGAAUCGUAAAACUUCUCAUUGGUGUCAUCAAAGGAGGAAGCGCCUGAUAAUUCUGUGCCCCGCGGCACCCGGAUGUCCGGAGAGGAGGGCCGAGCCGUCUCGGAGACCUCGGUUUUCAGCACGUUGCUAUGGAACCGCUGUAAAUGUCUCAGAAGACAGCUGGUACCCAAGUUAGUCGGCUUCUUCCCCCGGCUGAUGGUCCGGCCACAGUGCAAGCACACGACUUUCGUGGAGUCUGCGGAGCAAAUAGAAAAAUGAUUCCACAGCUUUGAGGUCUUUUUGCUAUUAACAGGAAACAUAACUUGAUUGUUUUUUGUGACCACUGUUGGCAAGUCAGUCAAUUUGGAAGAGGAACUUUCUGCAGAGGCCAAAGUGGCAUACGGAGAGUUUGCCAGACUCGCACCCAGAAAGCCCUUCUGGCUCCCGACAACUUCUGGAUGGCGCCGGUAGAGAUGUCUCAUCAGGCAGCUGGUGCCCACAUCACCCUUCUUCCCCCGGCUGAUGGCGCAGCCGCAGUACCGACACUCGGCCUUGAGGCUGUCCAUGGGGGCCAGGGAGAAGUGAUGCCAGACCUCCGACUUCAGUCUCUUCAUGACCUUUUUAUUCUGCUGGAAGACGGCACCAGAUUCAAACAAUCUAGGACUCAGCCCGUCAGCCUGCUGCUUCUCGGGAGAGGAUGCCGAGGCCUCCCCUACGUCGUCGGAAGAUGAGAAGGCCGCCGCGUCUUCCAUCAGCCCAUCUCCAGGGUUCAAGUGAGACUGCAGGUCCUCAGUCAGCCUGUCAGGGGAGGAGGAGGCCGAAGGGGACUCUCUGACCGGCUUUACCGGAGACGAGGACACAGAGCUGAGCUCCCCCUCCGGCGGCAGCAAGGAAGGCAGCAGAGUGGGAGGGGUGGAGUACAGCGGCGGGAUGCCUGUGCCCCCGUUCUCCUGCAACACGAUGGCGCGGUGCGCCCUCCACAUGUGCCUGAUGAGGCAGCUCGUGCCCAGGUCCUUCCCAUUCUUCCCCCGGCUGAACUCGUUCAUGCAGUGAAUGCAGACAGCUUUGGAGUUGUCCAGUGGCGACAGGUAGAAGUGCUUCCAGACAGCGGACCUUCUCCUGGACCCGGAGGUGCUCUUCGGAAGUGGAAGGCUCUUCUCCGCUAAGUUCUCUGCAGGUUCAUCGUAAUGGAGAGCAGGGAGGUGGGGAGACGACCCCACCAGGGCUUCUUCUCUGCCGCACUUCUCCGAAACGGACAUGUCAGAGGAGAUUUCUUCAGAAGAAACUACAGACACAGACUCCUCUGUUAUUCGAUCAGGGGACGGGAUCUUAGACGCCACUUUCUGGACAAGUUUGAUGGGUGAGAGGAUGGUGCUGAGGUCACCCGCGUCCGCAGGCUGUGGUGGAAGCAGGAGUGAGGGAGAGGGGAACGAGGACACGGCAGACACGCUGCCAUUUUCCUGAAUGAGCACGGUCGGGUGUGCGCGCCUCACGUGCCUCAUGAGACAACUGGUACUCAAGUCUUUCUCGUUUUUGCCUCUGCUGAACUCCUUCACACAGUACAUGCAUAUUGCUUUAGUGCUGUCUCGGGGAGAGAUAAAAAAAUGCUUCCAGGCUGGAGACUUCUUCCUGGAGCUCAUGUUCCGGCUGGAAAGGAGGCUCUGGGUCACGGCCUCCAUGGCCACGUCGUAGAGGGUGCUGCUGUACUGGGAGAACAGCGUGCCAUAGUCAUCCCCACUCUCCGCAGACAGGUACUUCCCUGGGGGCUUGCAGCUGCAGCCCGUCCCGCCGAGGCCCGCUCGCUCCCCACCGCUGUCUGUCUGCUUCAUGUCCUCCUGCUCGCUUUUAAAGUCCAUUCUUUCCAAACUAUCAGGAGGAAUUCCAUCAUCGUCUUCCUCUUCUAUUUUAAACUUUAUUUUAUCAGAAACGAAAUCACCGUCCUCUUUGGGACAAGUUUUCAAGUUAUUCUCCAUGACUGACCAUAACUACUCCGGCUGUAUCUUAGGUUCAUAAAAAACUGAUCCAAAUGCUCAUUUGUGCCCCCGAAUGUAGAUUAUCUUCACUUUUUCAUCAUAAUUCCAUCUUUCAGGAUGUUUCUAGAAAUAUGGCUAAUCAUAAAUAGCACUGAAAAAAAGAAUCUGCGACUCAUGGUCUUAAAGCAUAGAUCACUGCUUUCCAGGAGUCCUGCUACUAAAUACUCAGGGUGUAGACAACGAUGUGUGCAGCAGAGACUCUGUGCUUCUGGUCUUGAGGACAGGACCUGCCU